AACGAACGCUGGCGGCGUGGAUUAGGCAUGCAAGUCGAACGAGAAAGUUUCUUCGGAAACUGAGUAAAGUGGCAAACGGGUGAGUAACGCGUGGGAAACUUACCUUUCAGUUGGGGGACAACACUUCUAACGAGGUGCUAAUACCGAAUACGAUCAUUCAGUCGCAUGGGUGGAUGAUGAAAGGCGGCCUCUGUUUACAAGCUGUCACUGAAAGAUGGUCCCGCGUCCCAUUAGCUAGUUGGUGAGGUAACGGCCCACCAAGGCUACGAUGGGUAGCCGGCCUUAGCGGGUGUCCGGCCACACUGGGACUGAGAUACGGCCCAGACUCCUACGGGAGGCUG
rnacentral:rRNA from 1 species